AGCGCCUGACCACCGUUGGUUCAGCGUUCUUCUCUGCCCAUGGAGUUUCCUGUCGUGCAUGCGUACGGUUGAGGUCUAGGAUGUUCGUCCACAUCUUCUACGCUAAUCUUUGCAUGCUUCAUCAUGAGUUCUUGUCCAUUGUGCUAAUGGGUUUUGUUGACGGAGCUCACUGAAAAUAUUUGUUCUCACCUGCAGCAAGGCCUAUCAAAUAUUUUUCAAAAGAAAAAGCAACUGCCUUUCAGUUAAACUAGGAAUCAUUUAAUAAUUGGAGGCUUUCAUCUACAUAUGUCGACGUAAGGGGUUAGAAGAAGCAGAUGCAGGUCUGAGAGAAGAGACCAGUCUUCCAGCGGCUGGAGAGUGAAGAAAUUAUUCAUGACAGUGAAUCGAGCUGCCUAUCUGCAGCAGGCUGCCUAAGAGGUAAAAAGGCAGCAAAAAAAGAGGAAAAAGUUAUAGUAGCUUCAGUAGCAGUUCCUCUUCUCACUUCCACAAGGUCGCAUUUACCUUGGGACAGGCUGCAAAUAUGGAUCAAAAGGAGCUCCUUGACAUAGAAUGGGGCGCCACUCGUGCCUAGAAUGAGUGAUAUAUUUAUGUAUGUGACUAAGGUGCCAGCUUUUGAUUCUAUCUAUGAUGAAUAUUGCUAUUGUUGACUUCCUGAUCACCUAUUUCACUUACUGAUUAUCCUCUGCUAUAUAUGAGUUAUUUUUCUAUAGGUGCCUUUGCGUUUUAUUUUUUGCUGAUUAUCAACAUGUAUUCACUUACUGAUUAUUACCAUUAUUUUCUGUAAGCUCAUCGUAUGUGAAUAUUUUAUUGCUUUGGAUCUCAUGAUAAACUUUGGUUUUGUU